AUUGAACGCUGGCGGCAGGCCUAACACAUGCAAGUCGAGCGGAGCGGCGGACGGGCGAGUAAUUCCUAGGAAUCUGACUGGCUGUGGGGGAUAACGUCCGGAAACGGGCGCUAGUACCGCAUCCUAUCAGUUGAGCCUAGGUCGGAUUAGCUAGUUGGUGGGGUAAAGGCCUACAAAGGCGACGAUCCGUAGCUGGUCUGAGAGGAUGAUCCGUCACACUGGAACUGAGACACGGUCCAGACUCCUACGGGAGGCAGCAGUGGGGAAUAUUGGACAAUGGGCGAAAGCCUGAUGCAGCCAUGCCGCGUGUGUGAAGAAGGUCUUCGGAUUGUAAAGCACUUUAAGUUGGGAGGCGUUACCAACAGAAUAAGCACCGGCUAACUCCGUGCCAGCAGCCGCGGUAAUAC
rnacentral:rRNA from 1 species